CUAUUUUUCUUAAACUAUAAGUAAUAGGUCAACUAUAUUUGUUGUAUGGAAGCUUUGUUAGCUGUACAUGUCUGCCUGGCAUGGUUCAUCUGACCUUGACCUCAUUUUCAUGGUUUAUUGGUCUUUGUUUAGCUAUCUUGGUUAAUGUUAAGUUUAUGUGACAGUUGUAAUAAAGCUUUAUACUUAGGACUAUCAACAUAAUAUCAAUGAUUAGUAAAGAAGGCGAGACAUUUCAGUGUGUGCACUCUUGUUUAUA
rnacentral:lncRNA from 1 species